AGCGCAGGCGGGAGAACAAGUUGGAAGUGAAAUCCAUGGGCUCAACCCGUGAACUGCUUUCAAAACUGUUUUUCUUGAGUAGUGCAGAGGUAGGCGGAAUUCCCGGUGUAGCGGUGGAAUGCGUAGAUAUCGGGAGGAACACCAGUGGCGAAGGCAGCCUACUGGGCACCAACUGACGCUGAGGCUCGAAAGUGUGGGUAGCAAACA
rnacentral:rRNA from 1 species